GGUUAUUUCGGAACAUUGUGUCAAAAAGCACAAUGUGGGGAAAACGCCCAAUGCGCUGACACGCUGCGUAAUCGUACAUUGCCCGAGAACAAUGACAACUGCAAUUCAUUAUAUUACCAACAUUGUAUUUGCAACGAGGGUUACAGCGGGGAUGGAUUCAACUGCACCGAAUCGACGAAAUAAACACCGGGAAAAAGAAAUAACAACCAAAAAAUCAGGACAGGAUACAUAGCU